rnacentral:lncRNA from 10 species
GAGUGACCCGAUUUUCCAAGUGCGUCCGUCACCCCUUUCUUUUACUCAGAAAGGGAACUCCCUGACCCCUUGCGCUUCCCAAGUGAGGCAAUGCCUCACCCUGCUUCGGCUCGCGCACGGUGCGCGCACCCACUGACCUGCGCCCACUGUCUGGCACUCCGUAGUGAGAUGAACCCGCUACCUCAGAUGGAAAUGCAGAAAUCACCUGUCUUCUGCCUCGCUCACGCUGGGAGCUGUAGACGGAAGCUGUUCCUAUUCGGCCAUCUUGGCUCCUUCCCCGGGGAAACACAUAUAAUGUUUUAAAAGUAUUCUGAUCUCUGGAUUCUUAACUUGGAGGCCAUGGAUAGGCUUAAAACUCAUCCAAAAUGUUUUGUGUGCUUUUGUUUUUUUGUAGAGGAAGUUUCCAAAACUUUCUUCUAAUUCUCAAAGAGAUAGUAGAACAAUUAAUCUAAUCUCAAUCUCUAAAUUCACCUGUGAGAAAAAUGAGACCUGGAUCUGUUGCUAGAUCUAUGAACAGACCAACUAUGAGACCUUGGCCAGCACUCAGCCUUCUGCUGGGAGGAAGGGUCAGUGCUGCCUAGAGAAAAGAGCACUAGACUCAGAGAAAGCAAGGACAAAGCACAGAGCUUGUGGGAGAAACCAUCACGGACUCAGACUUCUCCUGGCACUCAGGUGUCUGCUUUGCUUUCUCUUCACUCCUCCUUGUUGUAUUACCCCAUCUCCCACUGCAGAAAUUUACUUUACUUUUUGAUAUACAAGAUACUGAGACUGCAUCUGUCAAAUUUUCACUGCCAAAAUUAUUUUGCAAAACUCUACUCAGUUUUAUAUACUCGUGUGGUUGUUUCUCUUUGUUUUUCACUAACAUUGAAAGCAAAUCUACAGGAAAUACUUUUUUUUGCUUGGAAGAGGAAUAGAGAUUAUAAUCUAAUUUGGUGGAAAGACUGCUGCCUGUAUCCAACUCUACAUACAUUUGAGUCCAGUGCUAUGCAAAUAUGAUAACGAAAACUCAGAGAGGCUUGUUGAUAUGCUGUAUUUCAAUGGGAGAACUGAAGGAAAACCAAGAGAGACUACUUCAAACCAGAUUCUGUGGCAAAAGGAAGCUUAAGUGGUAUGGCCAGAGGAUUGGAAGCAUUUGAAGUAAUGAAGAUUUGUAUACAGUGAUUUAAAUAUUUUGUUAAAAAUGUCAUACUCUUAUUUAGAUUAGACUUUAAGUAAUAAAUCUCAAACUAAUUUUCAAAGGUGGCAAAUUAUUCCUCUUUAUGAACGUUCUGUUGGAUCAUCUUCCUAUGCUGUGGCAUUGUCUGCCCUUAAACAGACUCAAAUUUUUAUUAAGUUUUAUUCAAUUCUGCAGGCUAUUUAUUUUGAUGUCAUAAGCUCCUAAAUUCUUGGCAAAACAAGGGGAAUUGACAAGAAGGGAUUAUGAA